rnacentral:miRNA from 1 species
CUCAGUGACUCCCGUGC